rnacentral:tRNA from 1 species
AAGAAAGUGACAGAAUGGCUAUGUAACUGACUUGAAAUCAGUAAAUGGGGGUUCGAUUCCCUCCUUUCUGG